GUGGGUAACCUACCCAUCAGAGGGGGAUAACACUUGGAAACAGGUGCUAAUACCGCAUAACAGUUUAUGCCGCAUGGCAUAAGAGUGAAAGGCGCUUUCGGGUGUCGCUGAUGGAUGGACCCGCGGUGCAUUAGCUAGUUGGUGAGGUAACGGCUCACCAAGGCCACGAUGCAUAGCCGACCUGAGAGGGUGAUCGGCCACACUGGGACUGAGACACGGCCCAGACUCCUACGGGAGGCAGCAGUAGGGAAUCUUCGGCAAUGGACGAAAGUCUGACCGAGCAACGCCGCGUGAGUGAAGAAGGUUUUCGGAUCGUAAAACUCUGUUGUUAGAGAAGAACAAGGACGUUAGUAACUGAACGUCCCCUGACGGUAUCUAACCAGAAAGCCACGGCUAACUACGUGCCAGCAGCCGCGGUAAUACGUAGGUGGCAAGCGUUGUCCGGAUUUAUUGGGCGUAAAGCGAGCGCAGGCGGUUUCUUAAGUCUGAUGUGAAAGCCCCCGGCUCAACCGGGGAGGGUCAUUGGAAACUGGGAGACUUGAGUGCAGAAGAGGAGAGUGGAAUUCCAUGUGUAGCGGUGAAAUGCGUAGAUAUAUGGAGGAACACCAGUGGCGAAGGCGGCUCUCUGGUCUGUAACUGACGCUGAGGCUCGAAAGCGUGGGGAGCAAACAGGAUUAGAUACCCUGGUAGUCCACGCCGUAAACGAUGAGUGCUAAGUGUUGGAGGGUUUCCGCCCUUCAGUGCUGCAGCAAACGCAUUAAGCACUCCGCCUGGGGAGUACGACCGCAAGGUUGAAACUCAAAGGAAUUGACGGGGGCCCGCACAAGCGGUGGAGCAUGUGGUUUAAUUYGAAGCAACGCGAAGAACCUUACCAGGUCUUGACAUCCUUUGACCACUCUAGAGAUAGAGCUUUCCCUUCGGGGACAAAGUGACAGGUGGUGCAUGGUUGUCGUCAGCUCGUGUCGUGAGAUGUUGGGUUAAGUCCCGCAACGAGCGCAACCCUUAUUGUUAGUUGCCAUCAUUUAGUUGGGCACUCUAGCGAGACUGCCGGUGACAAACCGGAGGAAGGUGGGGAUGACGUCAAAUCAUCAUGCCCCUUAUGACCUGGGCUACACACGUGCUACAAUGGGAAGUACAACGAGUCGCUAGACCGCGAGGUCAUGCAAAUCUCUUAAAGCUUCUCUCAGUUCGGAUUGCAGGCUGCAACUCGCCUGCAUGAAGCCGGAAUCGCUAGUAAUCGCGGAUCAGCACGCCGCGGUGAAUA
rnacentral:rRNA from 1 species